rnacentral:lncRNA from 1 species
GGGGAGAGAGAGCAUUAGGACAAAUAGCUAAUGCAUGCAGGGCUUAAAACCUACAUGACAGGUUGAAGUGUGCAGCAAACCACCAUGGUACAUGUAUACCUAUGCAACAAACCUGUACGUUCUGCACAUGUAGCCCAGAACUUAACGUAAAAUAAAUAAAUAAGAGUACGACAUGGGAGUUUUGAGAGAACUAUUAAUUUUUUGGUUAUCUCAAAUUUAAACCUGUCAAAUGUUUGUCAAGAAUUUGAAGUAUUCAAAAACUAAAAGUAAAGACAGUAAACAUAAAAUCAAAAGGAAGUAUAAAGGAACACGGAAAAAUGGACAAACCGGGAGAGUAAGUGCAAACAGGCUGGGCACGGUGGCUCACGCCUGUAAUCCCAGCACUUUGGGAGGCCGAGGCGGGCAAAUCACGAGGUCAGGAGUUCAAGACCAGCCUGGCCAACAGUGUGAAACCCCCUAUCUAGUAAAAAUACAAAAAUUAGCCGGGCAUGGUGAUACACACCUGUAAUCCCAGACACUCAGGAGGCUGAGGCGGGAGAAUCACUUGAACCCAGGAGGCGGAGGUUGCAGUGAACUAAGAUAGCGCCAUUGCACUCCAGCCUGGGCAACAAGAGCGAAACUCCAUCCCCCCACCCCACAAAAAAUGUUCGAACAAUUCUCGUCCCAAAUAAUUAUGAAAUUUAUAAUUUCUCAGGGCACGUAAAGUUUCUUGAUAGAAAGGAAAAUGAAGAGCAAAACCCUCUUAUGCAUAGAAAGUUGGUUGAUUCAUUUUUCCACCAGAUAAAUGUUGAAGCCACACUAACUAUGAAGUGUAGGAACAUAGAAUACUUGAAUUAUCUAAUCAGGUCCCAUUUAUCAUUGGUUGUAAAUCACUUUUAAAAAUGCUCACUUUUGACCAGGGCUUGGUGGCUCAUGCCUGUAAUCCCAGCACUUUGUGAGGCCGAGGUGGGUUGAUCACCUGAGGUCAGGAGUUCGAGACCAGCCUGGCCAACAUGGUGAAAUCUCGUCUCUACUAAAAAUACAAAGAGUAGCCAGGUGUGGUGAUGGGUGCCUGUAAUCUCAGUUACUUGGGAAGCUGAGGCAGGAGAAUCAUUUGCACCCGGGAGGUGGAGGUUGCAGUGAGCUGAGAUCAUGUCCCUGUACUCCAGCCUGGGCCACCAAGAGAGACUCCGAAAAAAUAUAUAUAUGUUUAUACCACUCGCUUUCUGUUAUUUUUGAGAGGAUGGUUUACAUCGUGGAAGCAAAAUUAAAUUCAUUUCUGGCUUGCAUAUUUUCCCUUUAGCAUCAGUUGACUCUGCG